rnacentral:piRNA from 1 species
AGAAUGUUGGCAUGGGUGUACUGUUCUGC